rnacentral:rRNA from 1 species
UUGGAGGGCAAGUCUGGUGCCAGCAGCCGCGGUAAUUCCAGCUCCAAUAGCGUAUAUUAAAGUUGUUGCAGUUAAAAAGCUCGUAGUUGAAUUUCGGGGUUCUACCGUCGGUCGGGCUACCAAGUCUGUACUGGUGUGUAGAACUUCUACCUUCUGGGGAACCAUCAUGUUAUUAAUUUAGCGUGGUGGGAAACCAGGACCUUUACCUUGAAAAAAUUAGAGUGUUCAAAGCAGGCUUAUGUCUGAAUACAUUAGCAUGGAAUAAUAGAAUAGGACGGUGGUCCUGUUUUGUUGGUUUCUGAAUCACCGUAAUGAUUAAUAGGGAUAGUUGGGGGCAUUAGUAUUCAAUUGUCAGAGGUGAAAUUCUUGGAUUUAUUGAAGACUAACUUCUGCGAGAGCAUUUGCCAAGGAUGUUUUCAUUAAUCAAGAACGAAAGUUAGGGGAUCGAAGACGAUCAGAUACCGUCGUAGUCUUAACCAUAAACUAUGCCGACUAGGGAUCGGACGAUGUUAAAUUUUAUUGACUCGUUCGGCGCCUUACGGGAAAC